UACGGAAGGCAGCAGUGGGGAAUAUUGCACAAUGGGCGAAAGCCUGAUGCAGCUAUGCCGCGUGUAUGAAGAAGGCCUUAGGGUUGUAAAGUACUUUUCAUCGGGGAGGAAAAAAACAAAAACUAAAUAAUUUUUAUUUUCUUUGACGUUACCCGAAAAAGAAGCACCGGCUAACUCCGUGCCAGCAGCCGCGGUAAUACGGAGGGUGCUAGCGUUAAUCAGAAUUACUGGGCGUAAAGAGCACGUAGGUGGUUCUUUUAAGUCAGAUGUGAAAUCCCUGGGCUUAACCUAGGAACUGCAUUUUGAAACUGAAAUACUAGAGUAUCGUAGAGGGAGGUAGAAUUCUAGGUGUAGCGGUGAAAUGCGUAGAUAUCUGGAGGAAUACCUGUGGCGAAAGCGGCCUCCUAAACGAAUACUGACACUGAGGUGCGAAAGCGUGGGGAGCAAACAGGGAUUAGAUACC
rnacentral:rRNA from 1 species